rnacentral:rRNA from 1 species
UGUGAGCUCGAUGAGUAGGGCGGGACACGUGGUAUCCUGUCUGAAUAUGGGGGGACCAUCCUCCAAGGCUAAAUACUCCUGACUGACCGAUAGUGAACCAGUACCGUGAGGGAAAGGCGAAAAGAACCCCGGCGAGGGGAGUGAAAAAGAACCUGAAACCGUGUACGUACAAGCAGUGGGAGCACGCUUAGGCGUGUGACUGCGUACCUUUUGUAUAAUGGGUCAGCGACUUAUAUUCUGUAGCAAGGUUAACCGAAUAGGGGAGCCGAAGGGAAACCGAGUCUUAACUGGGCGUUAAGUUGCAGGGUAUAGACCCGAAACCCGGUGAUCUAGCCAUGGGCAGGUUGAAGGUUGGGUAACACUAACUGGAGGACCGAACCGACUAAUGUUGAAAAAUUAGCGGAUGACUUGUGGCUGGGGGUGAAAGGCCAAUCAAACCGGGAGAUAGCUGGUUCUCCCCGAAAGCUAUUUAGGUAGCGCCUCGUGAAUUCAUCUCCGGGGGUAGAGCACUGUUUCGGCAAGGGGGUCAUCCCGACUUACCAACCCGAUGCAAACUGCGAAUACCGGAGAAUGUUAUCACGGGAGACACACGGCGGGUGCUAACGUCCGUCGUGAAGAGGGAAACAACCCAGACCGCCAGCUAAGGUCCCAAAGUCAUGGUUAAGUGGGAAACGAUGUGGGAAGGCCCAGACAGCCAGGAUGUUGGCUUAGAAGCAGCCAUCAUUUAAAGAAAGCGUAAUAGCUCACUGGUCGAGUC